UACGAAGGGAGCUAGCGUUGUUCGGAAUCACUGGGCGUAAAGCGCACGUAGGCGGAUGUGUCAGUCAGGGGUGAAAUCCCGGAGCUCAACUUCGGAACUGCCCUUGAUACAGCACGUCUGAGUCCGGAAGAGGUGGGUGGAAUUCCUAGUGUAGAGGUGAAAUGCGCAGAUAUCAGGAAGAACACCCGUGGCGAAGGCGGUUCUCUGGGACGGUACUGGACGCUGAGACGCGAAAGCGUGGGGAGCGAACAGG
rnacentral:rRNA from 1 species